GCUUGGGGUUCUGCCGGCUGUGAGGGGUGGCUGUUAACUCACAUUAAGCAAUCAAUUCUGAAGGCAGAUCUACUGGCUGGCUUUGUUGGCUAUAGACUGAUUAAAUACAGACAACUCUCAACAACGGAUAUCUUGGCUCCCGUAACGAUGAAGAACGCAGCGAAAUGCGAUACGUAGUGUGAAUUGCAGAAUUCCGUGAACCAUCGAAUCUUUGAACGCAAAUUGCGCUCGAGGCCUCGGCCAAGAGCAUGUCUGCCUCAGCGUCGGCUACUACCCUCAACUAAGUUUCCUAUUACUAUAGGGAUGCCGGUUGGAUCUGGCUGUCCGGCUUUCCUUUCAGGUUGCCGGUCAGCUGAAAUACAUUCACGCUCUGGGGGCUGCUUUCCUUUCGAGGAAAGGCGGGUUCCGAUUUGGUAGGUGACCUUUGCCGGUUACAUGCCUUCGUUGCCCGCUAAGACUCCCAGUAAGCGUUGUGCAGGACGCCUUUUGGCUUUCGACCUGAGGUCAGGCAAGAACACCCGCUGAACUUAAGCAUAUCAAUAAGCGGAGGAAAAGAA
rnacentral:rRNA from 1 species